rnacentral:rRNA from 1 species
AAGGUCCGGGCGUUAUCCGGAUUUAUUGGGUUUAAAGGAGCGUAGGCGGUCUUUUAAGCGUGCUGUGAAAUGUGCCGGCUCAACCGGGGCAGUGCAGCGCGAACUGAGAGACUUGAGUGUGCGGAAGGUAGGCGGAAUUCGUGGUGUAGCGGUGAAAUGCUUAGAUAUCACGAAGAACUCCGAUUGCGAAGGCAGCCUGCUGGACCGUAACUGACGCUGAUGCUCGAAAGUGCGGGUAUCA